UGGUAGUCCNCGCCGUAAACGCUGAGUGCUAGGUGUUAGGUCCUUUCCGGGACUUAGUGCCGACGCUAACGCAUUAAGCACUCCGCCUGGGGAGUACGACCGCAAGGUUGAAACUCAAAGGAAUUGACGGGGGCCCGCACAAGCGGUGGAGCAUGUGGUUUAAUUCGAAGCAACGCGAAGAACCUUACCAGGUCUUGACAUCCCGAUGCCCGCUCUAGAGAUAGAGUUUUACUUUUUGUACAUCGGAGACAGGUGGUGCAUGGUUGUCGUCAGCUCGUGUCGUGAGAUGUUGGGUUANNNNNNNNNNNCGAGCGCAACCCUUAUUGUUAGUUGCCAUCAUUAAGUUGGGCACUCUAGCGAGACUGCCGGUAAUAAACCGGAGGAAGGUGGGGAUGACGUCAAAUCAUCAUGCCCCUUAUGACCUGGGCUACACACGUGCUACAAUGGUUGGUACAACGAGUCGCAAGCCGGUGACGGCAAGCUAAUCUCUGAAAGCCAAUCUCAGUUCGGAUUGUAGGCUGCAACUCGCCUACAUGAAGUCGGAAUCGCUAGUAAUCGCGGAUCAGCACGCCGCGGUGAAUACGUUCCCGGGCCUUGUNC
rnacentral:rRNA from 1 species